AAGUCGUAACAAGGUUUCCGUAGGUGAACCUGCGGAAGGAUCAUUACACUCAGUAGUUUACUACUGUAAAGGGGGCUGUUAGUCUGUAUAGCGCAAGCUGAUGAGCAGCUGGCCUCUUUUAUCACCCUUGUCUUUUGCGUACCUACGUUUCCUCGGUAGGCUUGCCUGCCGAUUGGACAAACCUAUAACCUUUUAAAUUUCAAUCAGCGUCUGAAAAACUUAAUAAUUACAACUUUCAACAACGGAUCUCUUGGUUCUG
rnacentral:misc_RNA from 1 species